UGCAGCUAUGUCAAAUCCAGUGCCUACCCAACCCAUAGCAGGCACUUGACCAAAAGGCUGUCAUAGUAUAUUAUUGUGACUCAUGGCCCUGAUUCCCCCUCCUGGUAUUCAGGAAUAAAUUUGGUUAUAGACAUUG
ensembl:snoRNA